UAAAAAUCAAUGACGAGAAGAGUAAGAUAGGAUCCCUGUUCUACAGAGAGUCGGCGUUUGGUGAAAGCCGAUGUUCAGGCCUUAUCCGAAGAUCAUCUCUGAGAUGCAAAGCUGAAACAUAGUAAGCUUUGACGGGUUGUCCACCGUUAUAAUGGAAUGCGUAUGAUUGUACGUGAUGGAGAGCCGCAUGAUUUUUACAUAUGCGGAUAAGGGUGGUAGCGCGGGCACAAACCCGUCCCUAUA
rnacentral:ncRNA from 1 species